UGAUGUUGCAACAAGUGCAAUUUGUUUUUUAGUGGCAAAUAACCAUUCGUAUAGGCAAUUGCCCGUUGCGUAUUUAGUAAAUCAUUUCUUUAUUGGUUUCAAAUUUAAUCAACCUAUUCAGAGAUAUGUAAAUUUAUAACAAUUAACAUUGUUUUAAUAGGCUGCCAAUAAUUUGAUUGUGUUUGUUUUAAUAAAAUGCAUUUUGAUUACAAAAGGCAUAAAUUGUUAAUUUAAUGAGUGAAUUUGUAUGCGACACUUGCGGAAAAUGCGAAUUACGAAAUACAGGCAUCAUUGAGAGGGCGAAAUGGACGGAGAACUAAAACUUGAUUUUAAUUGACCUAUGUGGAGAGACCAAAGAAAUUCAUGAAGUCGAGACAUUUACCACUUUUGGGUUACCAUUGGAGGCCAAAGGUGGGCGUACCAACUUCAGUGGUAGUGCAUGCGUUGAGAUCCGAAUCAAAAAAUUCUUCCGAAUAGCAAAAAAUUUCAUCAGCAUUCAUCCCUAACUGAAUUGUACCACAUAAACUCCCUUUAAAUUAUAUUAUUAAUCUUUUUAUUGAUCCUUAUACUAGCUCCAGAACUGAGUUCAUAUCGUAAGUCAUACAGUAAUUACAUCCGGUCCAAGUAAAAUCAUAAAACUUUGCAACAUUGCUGACGAUAAUUGACGAUAAUUGCUGACGAUAUUUCUUAAACUUAACAAUGAAAUAUUCACUACUUAGGAUCUUGCACAAAUUGAGACCUCAAAGAAUUUUAAUUAUUUGAAAAUUAUAAAAAAGGUAUCAAAAAGGUAAGUAUUGUUAAAAAAAAAUUAAAAUUAUUUAGUUUGAGCAACCCGUUACAUAUACUCUACACUCUAGUACUCGAAAAUAUGCUUCAAUUCCAUAUAAUUGAUUUAAUGUUUUAUUUGAUAUAAAAGUGAGCAAAAUUUUCUAUU